AGGGUUUGAUCAUGGCUCAGGACGAACGCUGGCGGCGUGCCUAACACAUGCAAGUCGAACGGACUUAAGUUUUCGGAUUUAAGUUAGUGGCGGACGGGGGAGUAACGCGUGAGUAACCUGCCUUUCAGAGGGGAAUAACAGCCUGAAAAGACUGCUAAUACCGCAUAACGUAUUUGUCCCGCAUGAGAUGAAUACCAAAGAUUUUAUCGCUGAAAGAUGGACUCGCGUCCGAUUAGAUAGUUGGUGAGGUAACGGCCCACCAAGUCGACGAUCGGUAGCCGGACUGAGAGGUUGAACGGCCACAUUGGGACUGAGACACGGCCCAG
rnacentral:rRNA from 1 species